CCAAAAGCAUACUAUUAUUUUAACUUCUCUGUAUUUUUCCCCAACCAUUAACAUGAACUCCAAAAAUAUUCCCCAAAAAAUAUCAGAAAAGAAAAAGAGCCCUACUGCUACCAUUGAUGUAUAUUCAAUCUGAAUCACUUUCCGUACUCCUCAUGGCCUUCAAUCCUCUUGGUCUCUACAUCAUGUCAAAACCCACAUCAGAAACAUGAAUAGCAAAAAAAUAAAUAUUGCAUUGUAGGAAAUGUAAAUGAAGAGAAACCAAAUCAUAUGUUACCUUCUUAAUUAGAACUCUUCUUUUCCCUAACUUCAUAUUUUUCUUAGCACAUAUCAGUCAACCAUGCCCCAGGGCUCACCAGCUGCCACCAUAACCCACUAAUACAUGCCAAAUUUAAACCAAAAGUAUAUACAAAGCCUACAUAUAUGCUUUGAAUACAACAAUGUUUACUUACAAAACUAAACUAAACUAUGCUUCAACAAAAUGAACGAAGUUGCUAUUUUCGGGUCUUAGUUUGAAAAUAGUUGAAAGAGAGCAGAUAAGAGUUGUAUGAUCAGUUGUAAUGCUUAUGAACUUAUCUGUACACCAAGUUAAAAAAAGUUCAACUAAAAACUACAACAAUCUAACUAGCAUUGAGCAAUUUGUAAACCUUUAUACAUGUUUGUACUAAUUUCAUGAUCAUACUAAAACUUCUCAAAGUGAAUUAGUAAAAUAACUAGAAAUGAAAUUUCAUAUUCAUUGUGACAUUUAAACAAACACAGUCCAAUCCCA
rnacentral:lncRNA from 1 species